rnacentral:rRNA from 1 species
UACAGAGGGUGCAAGCGUUGUUCGGAAUUACUGGGCGUAAAGCGCGUGUAGGCGGCGACAAAAGUCAAAUGUGAAAGCCCUCGGCUCAACCGAGGAAGUGCAUUCGAUACUGUGUUGCUAGAGUGUCGGAGGGGAUGGCGGAAUUCCCAGUGUAGAGGUGAAAUUCGUAGAUAUUGGGAGGAACACCUGUGGCGAAGGCGGCCAUCUGGACGACAACUGACGCUGAGACGCGAAAGCGUGGGUAGCAAACAGG